AUUGAACGCUGGCGGCAGGCCUAACACAUGCAAGUCGAACGCGUGGCGGACGGGUGAGUAAUGUCUGGGAAACUGCCCGAUGGAGGGGGAUAACUACUGGAAACGGUAGCUAAUACCGCAUACCAUCGGAUGUGCCCAGAUGGGAUUAGCUAGUAGGUGGGGUAACGGCUCACCUAGGCGACGAUCCAUAGCGGGUCUGAGAGGAUGACCAGCCACACUGGAACAGAGAAACGGUCCAGACGCCGACGGGAGGCAGCAGUGGGGAAGAUUGAACAAGGGGCGCAAGCCGGAUAGAGACAUGCCGCGUGUAUGAAGAAGGCCUUCGGGUUGGAAAGUACUUGCAGCGAGGAGGCGUUACUCGCAGAAGAAGCACCGGCUAACUCCGUGCCAGCAGCCGCGGUAAUAC
rnacentral:rRNA from 1 species